rfam:Aedes albopictus isolate Foshan contig83591, whole genome shotgun sequence.
UGUUCUGUGGCUUAGCUGGUUAAAGCGCCGGUCUAGCGAAUACGGAGUCGUGGGUUCGAAUCCCACCAGAACGC